UACGAAGGGGGCUAGCGUUGCUCGGAAUCACUGGGCGUAAAGGGCGCGUAGGUGGUUCUGUAUGUCUACCGUGAAAGCGUACGGCUCAACCGUAUUUUGUCGGUGGAAACUGCAGGACUUGAGGCUGGGAGGGGCUGGUGGAAUUCCCUGUGUAGCGGUGAAAUGCGUAGAGAUGGGGGAGAACACUCGUGGCGAAGGCGGCCAGCUAGACCAGUUCUGACACUGAGGCGCGACAGCGUGGGGAGCAAACAGG
rnacentral:rRNA from 1 species